CUAAAGUAUGAGAUGAUACAAUGUUGCUAUUGAUCAAAACGCCAAUGAGGGUCGUGGGGGAGCCUGGAACCUAUCCCAGGGAACUCGGAGGACAAGGUGGGGGACACCCUGGAUGGAGUGGCAACCCAUCGCAGGGCACAAUUGCACACACCACGGACAAUUUAGAGAUGCCAAUCAGCCUACAACGCAUGUCUUUGUGGAAAGCGGGGGACCCGGAAGAAACCCCCAAAGCAUGGGGAGAACAUGCAAACUCUGCACACACAGGCCAGAGGCAGGAAUCGAGCCCCCAACCCCGGAGGUGCGAGCUACACAUGAUACUCCUGAGAUACCAGUGAUCCUGACCCCUUCUGCUCUCUGGACCUGCCUGAUCCACCCUGAUGACCUACUUCUGCUUGGAGUUCUUAUCAAUUGGAUGUUACAUGCUUCUGCUGAGGAUGGUCCCACAUGGUGCAACCUGGAGGUCACUGGGAUUGCUGAGGAUGGUGCCACUUAAAGACCAUGGGGAUGGCUUUGGACCUCAAUUCAUAAGAACAGUUAUGCUAUGAUGGCCAGGACUACAGUUGCAAUUAUAGCCUCAGCACUGCAAAUACCACAAACAGUUUUGCACUCAAGUCUCCAUCAGUGAACAGUAGAGAAGUUCAACAAAACAGACUUGAUAUAAAAACUGUAAUGAAUUUACCUGAUUACACAACUGCACUACUUCACCAUGUAGUAUUAGCACAUUUAUAGAAGGGACUUAUUUAUAAUCGUACUAUCCGGUGUCACCCAGAUGAAGACGGGUUCCCUUUAGAGUCUGGUUCCUCUCAAGGUUUCUUCCUCAUAUCGUCUCAGGGAGUUUUGCAUCACUACCGUCGCCUCUGGCUGCCCAUUAGGGCCAAAUUCAUAAAUAAAAAUUUUAUAUUCUGAAUGUAUAUAUUUCUGUAAAGCUGCUUUGGG
ensembl:lncRNA